rnacentral:rRNA from 1 species
UUGGGGGCUUGUAUGAUGAUUUUACGGUUAUGAUUUUUUUUAUGUUUUAUUUUGUAAUUUAGAGUUUAAGUUAAAAUACUUAAAUUACUCAGCUAGACGAUAAGACCCUAAAAGCUUUACUAAGAAAUCAUGCUGAAUUUAAAAUAUUUUUUGUGUGGGGGUUAUUAGUUUAGCUGGGGCAGUUGUUUUAUUAUAUUGAAUAUUUGUUUGCUUGCAAGGAAGCUUGAACUUUAAUAUUAGGGUGUUGUUUAAGUUACUUUAGGGAUAACAGCACAAUAGUUUUGGAGAGAGCGUAUCUAUAAAAUUGUUUGUGACCUCGAUGUUGAAUUAAUAUGUCUGGGUAGAGCAGCGUCUACAAAAGAGAGUUUGUUCAACUUUUAAUAUAUUACAUGAUUU